CAGGGGCAGAGUGAAUGCGGCAGAGUGGAGUAAGAACAUCCCAGAAGUAGAUGGUGUGCAUGCAAAUUGCACAGGAGCUUUUGGCUACUCCCAGGACUUCGGCUUUUGCUCUGGCUAAUGGGAAACUGUUGGGGAGUUUUGAGAAGAGGAGUCACACGAUCCUACAUUAUAAAGAGAUCCGAAUUUCUAUUAUGAGGCUUUUCCCAUAAUUCAGGUCAUGAAAGAAAUUUUCAAAAAAGAAAGAAUGACUCCAGAAAGUUUGGCCUGGGCACCUAAAGAGAUGGAGCUGCCAUUUACUGAGAUAUGGACCACAAUGAAAAAAAAGAAAGAAAGAAAAAAAAAGGGCCUGCAGAUUUCCACAUGCUUCUCACCUCCUUCAAGUCUUCAGAAAUGUUUCCUGUGAGAGAGGACUCUGCAGAAUAUCUUCCAUAAAACAGUACCAUCUUCCAUCACCUCUCACCUCCCUUUAUUUCCCACCUGGGACUUAUCCUCACCUGACAAGGUGGUUUCCGGACCAUGGUGAUGGAGUCAUGGAUGGUACCAUGAGUUAAUGGUGUCCUAAAGGGAGUUAGAAUUGCCUAACCCAGUCUAUGUCACCCAAAAUUCUUAGUCAUUUGCAUAGUUCCUCCAAAUACCCUUGUACCUUGUUCCACAUUUCCACAGCAGAUGAAGUUUAAAGUAAUUUCGAAUCUAACGGUAUCCAUAACCCUGACCCUAUGAGAAUAACAGGACCACCCCUGUCCCAGCCAUGCAAGUUUCCUCUAUUCUGAAUCACUUACUCUUCUCCCAGGAUACAUCCUACUUUCUUACUCUGUAGGAGCUCUACACAAUCUAUAUCUUCUGCCAAGAAUGUGCUAGCCUGACUUCUUUGACUGGCAAACUCCCAAGCAUCCUUAAAACCUCCAUAGGAGGACAGUCCUUUUUAUGCUGCACACUGCUUACGUACAGCGCAUCCCUUCCUCUGUGUACCAUUGCUGUGCCUCCUAUAUGCUUUGCUUUUCGUUCCUGCGAAUCAGAUUUCUUGCCUCACCUGCUGACUAUGAGCUCCUUUGUAGCAACGCUAUAGCCCCACGUCUUAGUCCAUUUAGGUUGAUACAACGAAACACCAUAGACUAGGUUGCUACUAUGGCUUGAAUGUGUCCCUCUCAAAGUUUAUGUAUUGAAAUCUGGUGAUUUCAAUCAUUUUUAUAGUUGAGAGAAUGGAAACUUAAUCUGAGUAUGGUGUUGGGUAUUAUUAGGCAUCAGGACUGGGCCUCUGUGAUAGGGUACUCGUGUGUUUAUAAGGAGAUGCAAGUAUGUGCUCACUCCUGCCCUGUCAGGAGACACCCUCCACCACGUUAUCCACCAGUAGGAAAACUUUCACCAGAUGAAGCCCCUUGAACUUGGACCCCCAAAACUGUGAGCUAAGUAAACCUCUAUUCUUUUUAAAUUACCCAGACUCAGCUAUUUCUGCUACUGGCAACAGAAUGGACUAAAAUAGUGACUUAAAAAGAAAAAAAAAAUUAUUUCUUUUGGUUCUAGGGUCUAAAAAGUUCAAGUCAGGCUCCAGCAGAUUCAGGGUCUGGUUCAUACUGCCUUUUGUUGCAUCCUCACAAAGUAGGAAAGGCUAUUAACUCUCUGCAGUCUUUAAAUUUAUUUUUCUUUAUUCCUGAAAGAGUAAGUGAGAGUAAAAGAAAGAGAACUGAGCAGCCUCCACAGGGUCUGGUCAUGCAGUGAUCCCCUUGCUUCGGUCCUCUAGCACAUCAGCCAUUGGGCACAUGCAUGCCCAGUGUGUUUUGGGCCGACUGGGUUGAGAAUUUGAACUACAGUUGUCAUGUGGGAUCCAGCUUCUCUCCAGCAGUACAUUUCUGCAUCAUAGGGAGCCCGCCCACUCUGGCCUCCUUUAUGAGGGCACCUAACCACCUCCUAACGCUGUCACUUUGGGAGUAAGACAUCAACAUACAAAUUUGGGGGUGUGGUCCAAACAUUCAGACCAUAGCACCCAUUAGUAAUAUAAAAAUGUUUAUUUAUAUUAAGUGCUUACUGCUUAAUUAAAUAAAAGAAUGAGUUUCCAAUAGUUUGCAGUCUGCUACAUCUGAUGAUUCAUUUUAUCUCCUAGG